rnacentral:rRNA from 1 species
GCAAAUCGAAUGAAAAUAAUUAUUUAUUGUUUUCAUGGUGAACGGGUGAGUAAUACAUAAGAAUCAGCUUUUAGAUAAGGCAUAAAAGAGUAAUAUCUCGGUAAUUCCUUAUAUGCGCAGUAGUGCUUAAAAAGGGUAGUCCCGUCUAAAAACGAGCUUAUGCCUGAUUAGCUAGUUGGCGAGUUAAAAGCUCACCAAGGCGAAGAUCAGUAGCUGGCCUGAGAGGGCGGCCAGCCACAUUGGGACUGAGACACGGCCCAAACUCCUACGGGAGGCAGCAGUGGGGAAUCUUCUGCAAUGGGCGCAAGCCUGACAGAGCGGCGUCAUGUGAAGGAAGAAGGCCUUAAAUAGGUUGUAAACUUCUUUUACUGAGUAAUGAAUAAUGACAACGCAGUAAAAAAGUAUCGGCUAACUCCGUGCCAGCAGCCGCGGUAAUACGGGGGAUGCAAGCGUUAUCCGGAAUAACUGGGCGUAAAGCGUCUGUAGGUGGUUUAGUGUGUUCUUAGUUAAAUUAUGAAGCCUAACUUCAUGAAAAGUAAGAAAACUAUUAGACUUGAGUACGAUAGGGGUAAGAGGAAUUCUUCGAGAAGUAGUGAAAUGCGAAGAUACGAAGGAGAAGAUCAUAAGCGAAGGCUUCUUACUGGGUCGUAACUGACACUGAGAGACGAAAGCUAGGGGAGCGAAUGGGAUUAGAUACCCCAGUAGUCCUAGCUGUAAACGAUGGAUAUUCGGUGCCGGAAAGUUGAGUAGAAUAUUUCGGUACCCUAGCUAACGCGUUAAAUAUCCCGCCUGAGG